UGUUCUGUGUAUUGGGGAUCAAUUUAUCGCAUCUCGUCUGGACGCGAUAAAUUGAUCUGCUUAUCGACGCCCAUACUCCACCUCGGCAGGAGGAGUAAGCAGAGUCGAUGGGGGAACCGUGGCAGUCGACUCGCCGCCAUGAGGACAGCCAGGCUAAGCUGAAAGAUGGAACAGAGUGUCUCGGAGAGACAACCCACCAUCACCCUGACUGCAGACUUCGAUGUAAUGGGUGCCUUAGACUGGAAAGACGGCAUUGCUACCUUGCCAGGUAGCAACAUACAAGAAAGAAACCAAGGAACAGGGUGCUGAACAUUUACAGCUUCAACUGAAGUGAAUUGGAGUGGUGGGAACUCAGAGCCUCUGAAAAUCAGGCUCAACACAUCU